GAUGAUUACUCGUGGACCAAUGUACCUAUCAUAUGGACCAUUGGAGACGUUACAAAUCGAAUGAAUCUUACUCCUGUGGCCUUGAUGGAGGGAAAAUGCUUCUGACUCUAUGGUUGCUGAUGAUAGUAGUAGAUAUAGGGCACAUAUCCAUUCUCUUUGGGUUUGAAUCCGGAAAAUCCCUCGAUGUGCUAUUAGUUGCAGUCUCUAAUAUAUGCAUGCUGGAAGAGAACCAAUACAAGAUUCAUGUGCCUUGGGAGCUCAAAGUAUAAUAAGGUAUGCAAUAUUGAGUUGCAUCUCUUUGGAGGCUACAAUGUGCCCGACUAGCCCCAUGUGCAAAUGGCAUCACAGGCCUUGAAAUGAGAGAUGGUGGUACAUCUUCUCGUGAUUUGUACUCCCAAGCAAUGGGAGUAGAAAAAUGGGCUGUGUUCGUAUAUAUGGCUUGGUCCUCCACUUAAAUGUCAUUUGGGUCCCAUGUCCUACUCGGGUGGAACUUUUGAGGAGGGUGACACAGUGAGGAAGAGGUGUGGGUUGUACUUGCAGAAUUUCAACAGACAGUCUAAUAUGAAGGCGUAGUAUGAUGAAGAACUUGAGAGUCUAAAACAACAAAUGGCCAUGUUAUUGCGUCAUCAUAUGCAGACUCCGAAUUCUAGUGGAGCGGGUUUUGAACUCUUCUGUCACUCAAAGGAGACUCCCCACAUUUUGAUUCCAGUCAUGACACUCCAUCUUUGUGCAGUCCAAGCAGAAAAACAAGAGAGCAAGGCAAG